GACGAACGCUGGCGGCGUGCUUAACACAUGCAAGUCGAACGAAAAGGCCUUGCUUUUGUGUUGUGCUCGUGUGGCGAACGGGUGAGUAACACGUGAGUAACCUGCCCUUGACUUUGGGAUAACUUCAGGAAACUGGGGCUAAUACCUGAUAGGAGCUCCUGCUGCAUGGUGUGGGUUGUAGAGUUUCGGCGGUUGGGGAUGGUCUGGCGGCUCAUCAGCUUGUUGGUGGGGCAGUGGCUUACCAAGGCUUUGACGGGUAGCCGGACUGAGAGGGUGACCGGGCACAUUGGGACUGAGAUAGGGCCCAGACGGCUACGGGAGGCAGCGGUGGGAAAUAUUGCACAAUGGGCGGAAGGCUGAAGCAGCAACGCCGCGUGCGGGAUGACGGCCUUCGGGUUGUAAACCGCUUUCGCCUGUGACGAAGCGUGAGUGACGGUAAUGGGUAAAGAAGCACCGGCUAACUACGUG
rnacentral:rRNA from 1 species